rnacentral:rRNA from 1 species
AGGACGAACGCUGGCGGCGUGCUUAACACAUGCAAGUCGAGCGGAAAGGCCCUUCGGGGUACUCGAGCGGCGAACGGGUGAGUAACACGUGAGCAACCUGCCCUUAGCUCCGGGAUAGCUCCGGGAAACCGGAAUUAAUACCGGAUAUGACUUAGGCCGACAUCGGCUGUGGUGGAAAGUUUUUCGGCUGGGGAUGGACUCGCGGCCUAUCAGCUUGUUGGUGGGGUAAUGGCCUACCAAGGCGACGACGGGU